CGCAAGCCUGACGGAGCCAGACCGCGUGAGGGAAGAAAGACCUUGGUUCGUAAACCUCUUUUCUCAAGGAAGAAGAAGUGACGGUACUUGAGGAAUCAGCAUCGGCUAACUCCGUGCCAGCAGCCGCGGUAAUACGGAGGAGGCAAGCGUUAUCCGGAAUCAUUGGGCGUAAAGCGUUCGUAGGCGGCUGUUCAAGUCUGCUGUCAAAGACCGAGGCUCAACCUCGGGUCGGCAGUGGAAACUGGAUAGCUAGAGGUCGGUAGGGGCAAAGGGAAUUCCCAGUGUAGCGGUGAAAUGCGUAGAUAUUGGGAAGAACACCGGUGGCGAAAGCGCUUUGCUGGACCGAACCUGACGCUGAGGGACGAAAGCUAGGGGAGCG
rnacentral:rRNA from 1 species